rnacentral:ncRNA from 1 species
UUUCGGGGCAGGGUGAAAUUCCCGACCGGCGGUUAUAGUCCGCGAAGCCUACAGGCCCGAAUCGGUGAAACUCCGAUACCGACGGUACAGUCCGGAUGGAAGAAGAU